rnacentral:rRNA from 1 species
UCUGCCUGGUAGUGGGGGACAACGUUUCGAAAGGAACGCUAAUACCGCAUACGUCCUACGGGAGAAAGCAGGGACCUUCGGGCCUUGCGCUAUCAGAUGAGCCUAGGUCGGAUUAGCUAGUUGGUGAGGUAAUGGCUCACCAAGGCGACGAUCCGUAACUGGUCUGAGAGGAUGAUCAGUCACACUGGAACUGAGACACGGUCCAGACUCCUACGGGAGGCAGCAGUA